rnacentral:rRNA from 1 species
GAUGAACGCUAGCGACAGGCUUAACACAUGCAAGUCGAGGGGCAGCGGGGGUGAUGGCUUGCCAUCACCUGCCGGCGACCGGCGCACGGGUGAGUAACACGUAUGGAACCUGCCCGCCACAGGGGGAUAACCCGGGGAAACCCGGCCUAAUACCCCAUGCCGCCCGGACCGGGCAUCCGGUCCGGGCGAAAGGAGGAAUCCGGUGGCGGCUGGGCAUGCGGCGCAUUAGCUUGACGGCGGGGUAACGGCCCACCGUGGCGACGAUGCGUAGGGGUUCUGAGAGGAAGGCCCCCCACACUGGAACUGAGACACGGUCCAG